rnacentral:rRNA from 1 species
UACGAAGUGGGCUAGCGUUGCUCGGAAUCACUGGGCUUAAAGGGUGCGUAGGCGGGCCUUUAAGUCAGGGGGGAAAUCCUGGAGCUCAACUCCAGAACUGCCUUUGAUACUGAGGAUCUUGAGUUCGGGAGAGGUGAGUGGAACUGCGAGUGUAGAGGUGAAAUUCGUAGAUAUUCGCAAGAACACCAGUGGCGAAGGCGGCUCACUGGCCCGAUACUGACGCUGAGGCACGAAAGCGUGGGGAGCAAACAGG